rnacentral:rRNA from 1 species
ACGCUCGACACCUACGUGAGGCAGCAGUGGGGAAUAUUGCACAAUGGGGGAAACCCUGAUGCAGCGACGCCGCGUGGAGGAAGAAGGUCUUCGGAUUGUAAACUCCUGUUGUUGGGGAAAAAGAGGAUGGUACCCAACAAGGAAGUGACGGCUAACUACGUGCCGNNGCGCGUAUNUGNGNGGCGNGNAG